rnacentral:rRNA from 1 species
UACGUAGGGGGCUAGCGUUAUCCGGAAUUACUGGGCGUAAAGGGUGCGUAGGUGGUUUCUUAAGUCAGAGGUGAAAGGCUACGGCUCAACCGUAGUAAGCCUUUGAAACUGGGGAACUUGAGUGCAGGAGAGGAGAGUGGAAUUCCUAGUGUAGCGGUGAAAUGCGUAGGUAUUAGGAGGAACACCAGUUGCGAAGGCGGCUCUCUGGACUGUAACUGACACUGAGGCACGAAAGCGUGGGGAGCAAACAGG